CAGCACCUCAAGUGGUCAGGAUGAUUAUUGGGCCUAAAGCAUCCGUAGCCGGCGCUGUAAGUUUUCGGUUAAAUCUGUACGCUCAACGUACAGGCUGCCGGGAAUACUGCAGCGCUAGGGAGUGGGAGAGGUAGACGGUACUCGGUAGGAAGGGGUAAAAUACUUUGAUCUAUUGAUGACCACCUGUGGCGAAGGCGGUCUACCAGAACACGUCCGACGGUGAGGGAUGAAAGCUGGGGGAGCAAACCGGAUUAGAGACCCGUGUAGUCC
rnacentral:rRNA from 1 species